rnacentral:misc_RNA from 1 species
UAAACUUGAUUCGUAAAAUUAGAUUCAACAGCGUGAACGUAGCGCGACCGUACGCGUUCUUGUUUUAUGACAACAAAAAAAUCUGAUUCAUCACGUUGAACGGUUGUGUUUGUCUUUUUUUCCCCAUCAUGAUGUAAAUCACAAAAAUUUCGAGUACUCAAACUCCGAGUUUAUUAUCGCCCUUUAUAUUUGAGAACGUAAUUUAUUCACGUCUUCGCCCUACGCCGCCGCUACGUCAUGAACGACCAGACGCUGCCCUCGCCGCAGACGACGCCGAAAACUCGAGAAUUAAUCGAGUACCCCCAAAACGACCAUCCGCUCAACGAUCCCCCCUCUGCGGAAUCGGAUGCCACCGAAAACGAGGAAAAAAUCUUGAAUCAAAUCGAUAUUCUGAAAGUUCCAUCUAAGGAAAGUAAAGAUGUCAGAGGAUUUCGGCGUCUUUCAAAAUUAUUUGGUAAAAAUCGAGGUGGUAAAAAUGCCGAGGAGGUUUCGUUAGAUUCGUCGAGAACCCCGGACACAAGAUCUGCGAUAUCAAACGAUUCACAAAUGGUUUAUUCGGGGCAACGAGUAUCGUCGCGGCUGCUACCCAACAUCGGUAGUCAUCUGAAAAGGUUGAUGAGGUUGAAAAGUAGCACGCGAGAGAUCAAAACCGAGGAAGAAGUCAUCAUAGUCGGCUCGCCCAAGGGAUCGUUGGCUGUCCCGGUUCCCGUGCUCGAGAUCGACGAAAUCGAAGUACAUCAGGGAAUUACGGAUUCUAAUCAAAAUGCCGAAACUGAUCAGAGGACAUCGGACUCUCUGGAAUCCGAUCUGCGGAAAACGUUGAUCUCGUCGGAAGAUCUCCUCCUCCCUGAUUCCGAUGAAUCGGAAAACAAAAAAUCGAAUGAAAUCGAAGAGAAUCGUCAAGUUGUAAAAAAUUCAACCACUUCGUCUGCAAAAGUACCCUCGGAAAUUUCAUCGUCGACGACAGUGGAUUAUAAUAUCACGGUGACCCCGAUUUCAUCGGUGAUACCUGAGACUGUGACGACGCCGCAGCAAAAUCAACCGAAUGACAUCAACGAUGAAUCUGUCGCCGUGGCACCAGUGCUAGUACCCGUACCCGUACCCGUACCUGUAGUGGUGCAAAAUGAUUUUGAAAACGAUAUCCCUACGGUGGUUGUAGAAAGUCCUCCGCCACCUCCCUCUGCAGCUGCGUUCCACUUGAUCACAGCAACUUCAAACGCUCCGGUAGAAGUCGGACCGAAUCAGACCGAGGCAGGAAUCCAAGUAUCCAGAAGAAGUGGUGCCUCGGCAGCGGUUCGCGAAGAUUUGAGACUGCCGUUUCUUUACUUGGAAGAAGAGGCUCGAAUCGAGCCUUACACUCGAACCGUUCUCGGGGGUGAAAAUGACUCGGUAACAACAGGGAGUGAAAGCAGCGAUGUCAUAUCCGAGGUCGCGGAUGCCAACGAACAACGCGAAGGACGUGACGCUGCCGAACAAUACUACAACGCUGUACUUUUGCGUGCGAUACUUCGUAAACAUUUGAAUCGCCUUGACGACGAGCCACCGUUUUACUAAACGAUCAUUUUUAUGCGAGGCUGCGGUGAAGCUUGCCAAUAUUCGUGCUCACCUAUACCCUAGCAAGAAGAUGGAUGUAACAGCUUCUGAUUUGAUUUGAAACAAACAAAAAAAAAAAAAACCAACUAAAUUCACGAAUUUAAUGA